GAGAAACUCACGUCGCAUAAAUUUAGAAAAAUAGCUUCAUCUUCUUUGUGCCUAUAAAAUCCCGCUGAAAUCUUGGUGUCGAUCUGCCGAAAGUCCAGAAGCCCCUCCACCCUUCGAUUCCCUCAGGCAAACUGCACCAAGCAUUUUACCGAUUUUCAACUACUUUGAUUCGAUGGGAUAUAUGGUAUUCGCAUUCCCUACCUUAGGGUUCUUUUUCAUUAGUGGUUGUUCGCUUUAUCUGAUUGAUUGAAUAUUUUUACUCUUCCAAGAAUUCCUUUUAUGAUGAACAUGGGGCCGCUAAGGAGCUUUCACUUACUCGUUGCGAUGCUAGGCAUAAUUGUGUUUCCUCGUUGUUUCAGGGCUUGUUGCUGUCUAAAGGUUAGGGCAGAACGGAAAGGUUUUGUAGUGGUGUUGUGUCAGAGUGUUUGCUGGGAAAAUUGAAGAUUUUCUUAGCCCUAGAAUUAGGACGCAUAGAUCUAGCUAGAAAAGUUCUGAACUUGAAAAUUCUGUAUUUAUAGUCACCCGCCUGCUGUGCAUGUCGCAGGGGCUUCAGUCCUGACCUUCUAGGUUACGAGUUUGAGCUGUGAUGUGGGUGUGUGGGCAAGUAAUUAUCAAAGUUCUGAAAAUCAGCGCAUGUAACCAGAAUAAACAGAGAUUUUGGUCAAUGAUUUAACGUAGUUGAACCGGAUGACAUAAUAAAAAUAAUAUAAGUAUUCAAUAUACUAUA